CUCCACACAAUUACACACACUUCGCCCUGAGCAAGAAAAGGGCCUGUGUACCCACUCUGUCUAUGCAAGGUCUUGCUCUAGGAGGCCACAGGGAAUGGGGAACCCCAGGGGGGCUCAUUGCCUGAAGGGCAGCCUGGUCCAUCCUUAGACAAUGCUGUGCACUGUGCCUCGGAGCUCAAGCUCACGUCCCUCAAACUCCUCUGGGAAUCUCUCUGACCCUGGAGCCCAGCACUGAGGUCACUCUCCAGAAAAUCCUAAGCCACAGAUAAGCAGCUGCCAAUAAGUUUUGUAAAAAGCCAUCUCAGGGUGUUUGCCAAUGAAACCAGCGUAGCAGCAUAGUUUUAUUCAGAGUUGUCAGUCUGAGGAAGGGUUUCCCAGGUGGCUUGGUGGUAAAGACCCUGCCUGCCAAUGCAGAAGAUGCAGGAUCAAUCCCUGGGUCGGGAAGAUCCCCUGGAGACGGAAAUGGCAAUGCACCCCAGUAUUCUUGCCUAGUAAAUUCCAUGGACAGAGGAGCCUGGCAGGCUACAGUCUGUGGGGUUGCAAAGAGUUGGACAUGACAGAACACGAACGCGUGUCAGUCUGAGGCAGCACACAGGCACUCUGAUGAGUGGGAAUGUGGCAGAAUCAUCUUAAUAAUAAGGGCUCACCCAGACCAGGUGUCAGGCACUAUUCAAAUGCUUUCACGUGGAGCAACUCAUCUAGUACUUCCAACCCUUCAGUGAGGCAGGUGCUAGGAAAUGGAGACUUAGAGAGGUCAAGUGACUUGCCCCAGGUCCCACAGC
ensembl:lncRNA